CAGCCGCCACGGUAAUACGGAGGGUGCAAGCGUUAUCCGGAUUUAUUGGGUUUAAAGGGUCCGUAGGCGGACUUAUAAGUCAGUGGUGAAAGCCUGUCGCUUAACGAUAGAACUGCCAUUGAUACUGUAAGUCUUGAGUAUAUUUGAGGUAGCUGGAAUAAGUAGUGUAGCGGUGAAAUGCAUAGAUAUUACUUAGAACACCAAUUGCGAAGGCAGGUUACCAAGAUAUAACUGACGCUGAGGGACGAAAGCAUGGGGAGCAAACAGGAUUAGAUACCCCCGUAGUCCCUGUCUCUUAUAC
rnacentral:rRNA from 1 species